UAUGUGCCCUUCAGGUUUCCGGAUUUGG
rnacentral:sRNA from 1 species